CCUUCGAUAGCUCAGUUGGUAGAGCGGAGGACUGUAGGUGGAUGAUGACAGUUAUCCUUAGGUCGCUGGUUCAACUCCGGCUCGAAGGA
rfam:Larimichthys crocea isolate SSNF unplaced genomic scaffold scaffold1696, whole genome shotgun sequence.